AUGACGACGCGCACAUCCUCCCUCUCCGAGCUGCAGGCACCCUCCGUGGAUGAGGACGACAACCAAGGCAUCCAUGGUCGACAGCUCGAUGGCUCCUCGGGGAGAACCUACUCGGCGGUCCUGAUGUUGCACUCGGCAGCGGCGCCGGCGGUGGCAUCGUCUUGUUUCAGAUUUACUGAAUAUAUGGUUGCAAAGGUUGAAGAAGAGUAUGUCGAUCCGGAGCCUGAGCAAGCUAUAUUACCACCCCUAGCCAACAAGAUCUCGGGCCCUGCUGGGAGAUCAAAGGCUGGAAGUGCAUGCAAGAGGGCAUGUUAA
rnacentral:rRNA from 1 species